rnacentral:rRNA from 1 species
AACGAACGCUGGCGGCAGGCUUAACACAUGCAAGUCGAGCGCCCCGCAAGGGGAGCGGCAGACGGGUGAGUAACGCGUGGGAACAUACCCUUUCCUGCGGAAUAGCUCCGGGAAACUGGAAUUAAUACCGCAUACGCCUUACGGGGGAAAGAUUUAUCGGGGAAGGAUUGGCCCGCGUUGGAUUAGCUAGUUGGUGGGGUAAAGGCCUACCAAGGCGACGAUCCAUAGCUGGUCUGAGAGGAUGAUCAGCCACAUUGGGACUGAGACACGGCCCAAACUCCUACGGGAGGCAGCAGUGGGGAAUAUUGGACAAUGGGCGCAAGCCUGAUCCAGCCAUGCCGCGUGAGUGAUGAAGGCCUUAGGGUUGUAAAGCUCUUUCGCCGGAGAAGAUAAUGACGGUAUCCGGAGAAGAAGCCCCGGCUAACUUCGUGCCAGCAGCCGCAGUAAGAC